UUGAAAGUUAUCUAUCUUUUAUCCAUUUAUAUCCAUCUUGACUCUCGAGGCUGUGGCGUCCUGGGUGCAUUGAUAUGUUCUCGCUUUCUUCCAUCCACUACUAUUUAUUAGCUCUCUUUCUUCCACGGUUGCAUUUUAUUUGUUCAGUAAAACUGAAAAGAGUGUGUUAUCUAUAUAGGCUCAAUUUUCACAAGGUGAACCCACUGGUAGUGUUGUUAGUUUCUUCAAAAUCAUUCGUAGUGGGCAUAUUCAUGAUGAGAAGAUUGAAGUACAUGAAGGAAGGAGAAUACCUACUAAGAGUAGCAGAUGGGAGGACAUGGAAAGUGACGUGCAAGACUUGGAAGAAGAGAGAUGGGGUGCUUUCCAUGCAAUACAAAUUUACUAAUAAGGGUAGGAUCAAGUUUAGCCGAGAAAUGAAGAUAACGAAGGAUGAUGUCUGUCUCUUUGAGCUCCUUGACAACAAGAAUUCUAAUGGUAGUAGCUCCACUACCAUACCAACCUUCAAUGUUCUAAUUUCCUAUGACCCCAUCUGUAUUCCCUAAUUAAGCUAGUUUAUUAUCUAUGUUGUUUAAUUUGGUCUUGUCUUGUGUUAGUUGUGACUAGGUUGUGUGUUAUGUUAUUAUGAUGCUACUAUUGUUAUUAUUAUACUUUGGUGGUUUUAAGUUAUUAAUUAUUAGUCAAA